rnacentral:rRNA from 1 species
GACGAACGCUGGCGGCGUGCUUAACACAUGCAAGUCGAACGGAAAGGCCCUGCUUUUGUGGGGUGCUUGAGUGGCGAACAGGUGAGUAACACGUGAGUAACCUGCCCUUGACUUUGGGAUAACUUCAGGAAACUGGGGCUAAUACCGGAUAGGAGCUCCUGCUGCAUGGUGGGGGUUGGAAAGUUUCGGCGGUUGGGGAUGGACUCGCGGCUUAUCAGCUUGUUGGUGGGGUAGUGGCUUACCAAGGCUUUGACGGGUAGCCGGCCUGAGAGGGUGACCGGCCACAUUGGGACUGAGAUACGGCCCAGACUCCUACGGGAGGCAGCAGUGGGGAAUAUUGCACAAUGGGCGGAAGCCUGAUGCAGCAACGCCGCGUGCGGGAUGACGGCCUUCGGGUUGUAAACCGCUUUCGCCUGUGACGAAGCGUGAGUGACGGUAAUGGGUAAAGAAGCACCGGCUAACUACGUG